rnacentral:rRNA from 1 species
AACGAACGCUGGCGGCAUGCCUAACACAUGCAAGUCGAACGAGACCUUCGGGUCUCGUGGCGCACGGGUGCGUAACGCGGGGGAACCUGCCCUUAGGUUCGGAAUAACUCCCCGAAAGGGGUGCUAAUACCGGCUAAUGUCUUCGGACCAAAGAUUUAUCGCCUUUGGAUGGGCCCGCGUUGGAUUAGCUAGUUGGUAGGGUAAAAGCCUACCAAGGCGACGAUCCAUAGCUGGUCUGAGAGGAUGAUCAGCCACACUGGGACUGAGACACGGCCCAGACUCCUACGGGAGGCAGCAGUGGGGAAUAUUGGACAAUGGGCGAAAGCCUGAUCCAGCAAUGCCGCGUGAGUGAUGAAGGCCUUAGGGUUGUAAAGCUCUUUUACCCGGGAUGAUAAUGACAGUACCGGGAGAAUAAGCUCCGGCUAACUCCGUG